CCUACAUAAAUAAAUACAUGGGCGCAGACAUUUUGGACACCCAAAGUUGUGCGGAGGAGAAAAUGCUACCUGGCGCGUGAUUGGUCAAUAAGAGAAAAGACUUGUUAUGUAUUUGACAAGUGAAAUAAAGUUGAUAAAAAUCUCAUAUCAAGACUUGGGUUUCUUUGAGAUAUAUAGGAGUAACAGGUAAAAAUUUGAAGGGAGGGGUGCUCUUUGGUUAGAGAUUUUCAGUUGGUGUCAAACGCACCUUGUUGUAAACAAAUGGAAAUUGAAAGUAAAAGUGCCGCGUGACCAUAUAUUUUUUCUGGCAUGUUUUGUUUUCCAAUAUCUCGAACUUUCACGACAAAAAGGUCAUUUGCCCGAAAUUCAAUAUAUGUAUCAGUGAGAGGGGCUCACGUUUGUAUGGAAGUCUAUGGGAAAACAUUUGGUGGUGUUUGUCCUAUAGAAAAGGUAUGAUUUCAUCGAUAAACAUUGAUUACAGCCAAAAAAUCAAUCAGUUCCUAUUUUUUUGGCAUUGAGAUUAUAUUUUAGUUAGUUUUAACUAUUUGUUUAAAAAUUAGAGGGUUUGGGUAAAUUGAGGCUCACGAUAGGGACUGCACAUAGUAAAAAAAAUGCCAAAAUUUUGCCCUAGCUCUCAUAUUUUCAAUAAAUGUACAUGUGAAUAGUUUUAAAUAAAUAUUUAUGCUGAAAUUUACUGUGAAUAUUGUAAAUAAUACAAUAUCAAUAUUUAUGGGCAUCAUCAAUACACAAAACAUAUGAAUAUCCCCCUCGCAGUUUGAGAAAUUCAUUUAAAUCCAUGUAUUUUAUGAGUGUAGACAUUGGAACAGAUUGAGUAAUCCUCUUUCAAAUUUGUGUUAAUCAGAGUUGAUUGAAUAAUUUAUAACAAAAUUUGACUGUUGUUAACUAAUUAGGUGACUUUGUUUUUACAUAAGGGGCAUAAUCCAGCAGAAAAGCCAGUUUCAGUCAUGUAAUCAGUGCUGGCUUGAAAAAAAAGUUAUACUUUUGGUGAAACUUAGAGAUUACUUGUAGGAAAUUUAAUUGAAAUUACAGUACAAUAUAUUUGUGCAGAAAAUACAUUGAAAAUGCAAUAAAUAUGCAAAAUUAUAACUAAAAAAAUUAUGAAAAAGGUGUCUGAAUAUCCCGCCUCCUUGCCAUAUCCAAUCUUGAUAUUCUGCUGAAAAGGGGGGGGGGUAAUUUUGUGCUCUAAUCAUGCUGAAAAAUGAAGGAUUUUUGUUUAAAUUGGGUUUAUUUGAAUAACAAGAGUCAUAUUUAUCUGCAGUUAUUUUUUUUUUCAAUUUCUUUGAUAUUUUUUGAAAUAAUUAUCUGAGUAAAUUCUAUUUUAACAUGUUUAUUUUAAAGGUAUUACAUCACAAAUGCUUAAAAAAAUUUCAAAAGAUGGUGUAAAUAAUUAAAAAUUAUUAUAUAAGCUACUAGAUGCAUUUAUUAGUAUGUUUUAAUAAAAUAAAAUGUAUUUCAGCAAUGCAUUAUCAAGAAGGAAGAGAUUAAUGAACCCUACCCUCUUACAAUGAACAACACAUGGACACUCUCGGGAUGAUCCCUUUGCUUUCAUUAAGAGUUCCAAGAUGUUGGUCUGAUUGACUGGGGUGUGAAAUGUAACAGCCAAUGGUAUACUUAAGCUAAGACUGUCAGUCCCAAUAUUCAAGAGGAAAAACCCCUACAUAAAUAAAUACAUGGGCGCAGACAUUUUGGACACCCAAAGUUGUGCGGAGGAGAAAAUGCUACCUGGCGCGUGAUUGGUCAAUAAGAGAAAAGACUUGUUAUGUAUUUGACAAGUGAAAUAAAGUUGAUAAAAAUCUCA